rnacentral:lncRNA from 1 species
GGCCUGCUCAAGCUGGGGACACCCCAAGGCCUGACUGUGGUGGGGACACCUCACGUCCUGACAUGGGGACACCCCACGGCCUGCCCAGGAUGGGGGGACCCAAAAGCCUGGCCGUGGUGGAGAUGUGGUGGGGCUACCUGAGGGUCUAGAUGUGUUAGGGUCAUUCUGUGGCCUGCCCAGCUGGGGACACUGUGGGGACACCCAAAGGCCUGCCCAGGCUGGGGAUGAUGGGGGGACCCAAAGGCCUGGCCGUGGUGGAGAUGUGGUGGGGCUACCUGAGGGUCUAGAUGUGUUAGGGCCGUUCUGUGGCCUGCCCAGGCUGGGGACACUGUGGGGACACCCAAAGGCCUGCCCAGGCUGGGGCUGUGGUGCUGCCGCCCCGGGCCCUGGGUGUGUUAGGGCUGCUUUGAGGCCUGCCCGGGCUGGGGACACCCCAAGGCCUGUCCACGAUGGGGGGACCCAAAGGCCUGGCCAUGCUGGGGAUGUGGUGGGGCUACCUGAGGGUCUGGGUGCGUUAGGGCUGUUCUGUGGCCUGCCAGGGCUGGGGACAGCCCAAGGCCUGACCUGGGGACAGCCCAGGGCCUACCCAGGAUGGGGGGACCCAAAGGCCUGGCCGUGCUGGGGAUGCGGCGGGGCUGCUUUGAGGCCUGCUCAAGCUGGGGACACCCCAAAGCCUGACUGUGGUGGGGACACCUCACGGCCUGACAUGGGGACAGCCCACGGCCUGCCCAGGAUGGGGGGACCCAAAGGCCUGGCCGUGGUGGAGAUGUGGUGGGGCUACCUG